AUCGCUUCUCGGCCUGAUGGCUAAGAUCAAAGUGUAGUAUCUGUUCUUAUCAGCUUAAUAUCUGAUACACUCCCCAUCGGGGAGUCAGAAUAUUAACCUUAUUUUUGGAAUUGGUCGGACUCCGGGGCUUGCUCCGACUCCGACACGGGUCGUACCUGCCUUGCAGUGCCGCAGGACGCGGCCCACAUUUG